CAUGGAGAAUUUCUUAGACAACUAAGCUUUGAUCAAGAUCAAUAUGGAAAUAUCAUUUUCAAUAAAGAGGAUAUCAUCCACGUACGGUAUGAGGAAGCGUGCUCCCAUUGAUUUUUUUGUAAACAUAAGAUUUUUAUUUAUUUUUGAUGAAACUAAAUGAUUUGAUCGUAUCAUUGAAAUGAAAAUUCUAGCUUCGAGAAGCUUGUUUUAGUCCAUAGAUGA
rnacentral:lncRNA from 1 species